ACGGAGGGGGCGAGCGUUGUUCGGAAUCAUUGGGCGUAAAGGGCGCGUAGGCGGUCGGGUAAGUCGGUUGUGAAAUCCCCUGGCUUAACCAGGGAAGUGCGUCCGAAACUACCUGACUGGAGGCCGGGAGAGGAGAGUGGAAUUCCCAGUGUAGCGGUGAAAUGCGUAGAUAUUGGGAGGAACACCGGUGGCGAAGGCGGCUCUCUGGACCGGUUCUGACGCUGAGGCGCGAAAGCUAGGGGAGCAAACAGGA
rnacentral:rRNA from 1 species